CCAGACUCCUACGGGAGGCAGCAGUGGGGAAUAUUGCACAAUGGGGGAAGCCCUGAUGCAGCGACGCCGCGUGAGUGAAGAAGUAUUUCGGUAUGUAAAGCUCUAUCAGCAGGGAAGAAAAUGACGGUACCUGAUUAAGAAGCCCCGGCUAACUACGUGCCAGCAGCCGCGGUAAUACGUAGGGGGCAAGCGUUAUCCGGAUUUACUGGGUGUAAAGGGAGCGUAGACGGUGAUGCAAGUCAGAAGUGAAAGCCCGGGGCUCAACUCCGGGACUGCUUUUGAAACUGUGUGACUGGAGUGCAGGAGAGGUAAGCGGAAUUCCUGGUGUAGCGGUGAAAUGCGUAGAUAUCAGGAGGAACACCAGUGGCGAAGGCGGCUUACUGGACUGUAACUGACGUUGAGGCUCGAAAGCGUGGGGAGCAAACAGGAUUAGAUACCCCGGUAGAA
rnacentral:rRNA from 1 species